rnacentral:rRNA from 1 species
AAGGCUAAAUACUCCUGAGAGACCGAUAGCGAACCAGUACUGUGAAGGAAAGGUGAAAAGAACCGCGAACAGCGGAGUGCAAUAGAACCUGAAACCGUGCGCCUACAAACGGUCGGAGGCCAGGCCAUAGCUUGCUAUGGUAGUAGCUAACGGCGUGCCUUUUGCAUAAUGAGCCUACGAGUUACUCCUCUCUGGCAAGGUUAAGUGUUUUAAAGCACGGAGCCGAAGCGAAAGCGAGUCUGAACAGGGCGAAGAGUCAGAGGGGGUAGACGCGAAACUUUGUGAUCUACCCAUGACCAGGUUGAAGGUCCGGUAACACGGACUGAAGGACCGAACCAGUUGACGUUGAAAAGUCUUUGGAUGAGUUGUGGGUAGGGGUGAAAGGCUAAUCAAACUGAGAGAUAGCUCGUACUCCCCGAAAUGCCUUUAGGGGCAGCCUCGAGGUUGAGUUUUAUAGAGGUAGAGCUACUGAUAGGAUGCGGGGGCUUCACCGCCUGCCAAUUCCUGACAAACUCCGAAUGCUAUAAAAUAUACUCGGGAGUGAGGCGUAGGGUGCUAAGGUCCUGCGCCGAGAGGGAAAGAACCCAGACCAUCAGUUAAGGUCCCCAAAUGUAUGCUAAGUUGAUCUAACGAGGUUCGACUGCAUUGACAGCUAGGAUGUUGGCUUGGAAGCAGCCAUUCAUUUAAAGAGUGCGUAACAGCUCACUAGUCGAGCGGUCGGGCGUGGAUGAUAAUCGGGCAUAAGUAUACUACCGAAACUGUGGAUUUCCGACGUAAAGUCGGAACUGGUAGGGGAGCAUUCCGGUCCGCGUAGAAGGUGUGUUGUAAGACAUGCUGGAGCGUCCGGAAAAGCAAAUGUAGGCAUAAGUAACGAUAAUGCGGGUGAGAAACCCGCACACCGGAAGACCAAGGUUUCCUGAUCAACGCUAAUCGGAUCAGGGUUAGUCGGGACCUAAGGCGUAGCCGAAGGGCGAAGUCGAUGGACAACAUGUUAAUAUUCAUGUACCGGCAAUAACUGCGAUGGGGUGACGGAGUAGUGACAGGCAUGCGUACUGACGGAAUAGUACGUUGAAGGGUGUAGAUAUAUCAUUUACAGGCAAAUCCGUAGAUGAUGUCGAACCUGAUAGUACCGUGAGGCUUCGGCCAAGCGGAUAAUUGCUGUAAACAGACUUCCAGGAAAAACCUCUAAGCAUCAGGUUAUUGGCGCCCGUACCGGAAACCGACACAGGUGGUCGAGGAGAGUAUCCAAAGGUGCUCGAGUGAAUCAUAGUUAAGGAACUAGGCAAAUUAGUCCUGUAACUUCGGGAGAAAGGACGCCCCGAGCAAUCGGGGCCGCAGAGAAAUGGCCCAGGCGACUGUUUAUCAAAAACACAUGGCUUUGCUAAAUCGAAAGAUGACGUAUAAGGCCUGACACCUGCCCGGUGCUGGAAGGUUAAGAGGAGAGGUUAGUCGCAAGGCGAAGCUUUGAAUUGAAGCCCCAGUAAACGGCGGCCGUAACUAUAACGGUCCUAAGGUAGCGAAAUUCCUUGUCGGGUAAGUUCCGACCUGCACGAAUGGUGUAACGAUCUGGGCACUGUCUCAACUAUGAGCUCGGUGAAAUUGUAGUUCCGGUGAAGAUGCCGGAUACCCGCAACGGGAC